GUCUACAGCCAUACCACUCUGAACAUGCCCAAUCUCUUCUGAUCUUGCAUGCUAAGCAGGGUCAUGCCUGGUUAGUACUUGGAGGGGGGAACCACCUGUGACUACUGGGUACUGUAGGGG
rnacentral:rRNA from 1 species